rnacentral:ncRNA from 1 species
CAAAGGCCUGGUCCUAACUUUGCUGUCGCCUAUAGCUAUACUUACACAUGCAAGUAUCCGCAUACCCGUGAGGAUGCCCUUCACCCUCUUAUGAGUCCAAGGAGCUGGUAUCAGGCACACUUAAUUGAAGCCCAUAACACCUUGCUCAGCCACACCCCCAAGGGAAUUCAGCAGUGAUAAACAUUAAGCCAUAAGUGCAAACUUGACUUAGUUAAAGCUAAGAGGGCCGGUAAAACUCGUGCCAGCCACCGCGGUUAUACGAGAGGCCCAAGCUGACAGAGAACGGCGUAAAGAGUGGUUAAGUAGUCCUAACACUAAAGCUAAACAUUUUCCUAGCUGUUAUACGCAUUUGAAAAUAUGAGAAUCUUCCACGAAAGUGGCUUUACUCUUCUGACUCCACGAAAGUUAUGAAACAAACUGGGAUUAGAUACCCCACUAUGCAUAACCGUAAACACCGAUAUUUAUUUACUUUUAAUCCGCCAGGGGACUACAAGCAUUGGCUUGAAACCCAAAGGACUUGGCGGUGCUUUAGAACCACCUAGAGGAGCCUGUUCUAGAACUGAUAACCCCCGUUCAACCUCACCCUACUUUGUCAUACCCGCCUAUAUACCGCCGUCGUCAGCUUACCUUGUGAGAGAAUAUUAGUGAGCAAAAUUAGUACAACCCAAAACGUCAGGUCGAGGUGUAGUGUAUAGUAGGGGAAGAAAUGGGCUACAUUUAUCCUACCGAUAAAUACGAAUGAUUUACUGAAAAGUAAAGCUGAAGGAGGAUUUAGUAGUAAGAAGAAAAUAGAGAGUUCUUCUGAAAUAGGCUCUAAAGCGCGCACACACCGCCCGUCACUCUCCCCUAAUGCCUCAUAAAAUUAAGUAAAAUGCCUGAAAAAAUAAGGGGAGGCAAGUCGUAACAUGGUAAGUGUACCGGAAGGUGCACUUGGAAUAC